UUAUGCUAGGUGGGGAGGUAGCGGUGCCCUGUAUCUGCAAACCGCUAUAGCAGAACUGAAUCCCCAGUAUGCGGCCUGUCUUUGUGGGGACUGUCCCAUGCACGUAGCGUUGAGAGUUGGGUCUUGAGCAACGAGAGCUUGUUGAACCCCGUCAGGUCUGGAAGGAAGCAGCGGCAGAUAAGUUUUCUCGUGUGACGCAAGGUAGCCUGGCUUGAGCCAACGACAUGGGCAACGCCCGGAGAGGCUUGUCAACUCUGGGUGCAUAG
rnacentral:SRP_RNA from 1 species